rnacentral:rRNA from 1 species
UACGUAGGGGGCAAGCGUUAUCCAGAUUUACUGGGCGUAAAGCGCGUGUAGGCGGCUGGUUAGGUGUGAUGUGAAAUCUUCCGGCUCAACCGGAAAACUGCAUUGCAAACCGGCCUGGCUAGAGUGCAGGAGAGGGAUGUGGAAUUCCAGGUGUAGCGGUGAAAUGCGUAGAUAUCUGGAGGAACACCGGUGGCGAAGGCGGCAUCCUGGACCGACACUGACGCUGAUGAGCGAAAGCCAGGGGAGCAAACGGG